UACUAAAAAGAAUUGUUUUUGCUCUGGAGAAAUGCUAAGUGAAAACAUUGUAUAAUGAAAAACUAAAUUCAAAAAAACACAGUUAAUGAUAUCCACUUUACAUACUUUAGUGAUAUACUAGACAAGGUAAUAAGUGUUGAACUAUAGGCGUUAUGUUGAUAUUUGCGUAUGCUUUUAUAGGUAAAGCACGGCGCCAAGUAUGAAGAAACGAAUUUAAGUUAUUUUGAUGGUGGCGAUCUUCAUACAAUCAGCGUAAAGUCGCCGAAGAGUUUAACAGGCAGCGUUAAGAUUGUUGUGUAUGAUUUAAGGUUUGGAUGUAAACUGUUAAUUUUCUACGACAUCGUAUUGACUGCGAGUACACAACAUCAAAAUAACUUGAGUUCGACUCUCCUUACUCAGCACAAUUAUUUCCUUGUAAAAGAAUGAAGAUAGAUGGAUAUAAUUCCCGUUGAUCUAGACUUACAGGGUACUCCCGUUUAGUAUUAUAAUUUCUCUGAACUUUUUCGCUUACUAAGUAUUAAUAUCUUUAUUCAACGCUGUCUAGAAAGAUUUUUCACUCAAAUGCAACCAAAUCUGGCACGAUGACAUUUCAAGACCUUUCCAAAAAUAAUAAUAAAAUUAAUAGCAAAAUUUUCCACUAUUCCAUUUAUGAUGCUGUAAGCAACAAGCUUUAUUUCUACAAGACAUUCACAUGACACGGAAAUUUUAACGAUGAAGAAAACACUUUUCAAUGCGGUUUUUAUUCUUUUGGUGCAAGAUUUGAAGGCAAUUAAUAUCAACUGUAAUUGAUUUUCUUUAAUAUUUCUAACCCGCAGAGUUAUGCAGUCUUUCAAGACUGCUAAAUUUGUAAUGUGUUCUCGACAAAAUACACUUUAUAAAACUUUAUGACUCAAAUACCCAAUAGUGCCAUAGUGGUGAAUUUCUGUACUAAUUUGCACUUUAGGUAAAUGUCUAAUGCGUGUCCUGAAAUGUCACCAACCAAUUUUGAUUAUAUUUCGACUACUAAGUUGUUCUUUAAACAUCAUUAAAUACAGAUAAUUUCGAUUGAUUGGGGCAAGGGUGAAGAUAAUCCAGUUAGUCGUGUCUACUUCUUUUCUAAAUAUAACAUGGAUGCUACUUGGAAAGAAGAG